rnacentral:rRNA from 1 species
AAUAGAUACCCAGGUAGUCCACGCCGUAAACGAUGAGUGCUAAGUGUUAGAGGGUUUCCGCCCUUUAGUGCUGCAGCUAACGCAUUAAGCACUCCGCCUGGGGAGUACGGUCGCAAGACUGAAACUCAAAGGAAUUGACGGGGGCCCGCACAAGCGGUGGAGCAUGUGGUUUAAUUCGAAGCAACGCGAAGAGCCUUACCAGGUCUUGACAUCCUCUGACAACUCUAGAGAUAGAGCGUUCCCCUUCGGGGGACAGAGUGACAGGUGGUGCAUGGUUGUCGUCAGCUCGUGUCGUGAGAUGUUGGGUUAAGUCCCGCAACGAGCGCAACCCUUGAUCUUAGUUGCCAGCAUUUAGUUGGGCACUCUAAGGUGACUGCCGGUGACAAACCGGAGGAAGGUGGGGAUGACGUCAAAUCAUCAUGCCCCUUAUGACCUGGGCUACACACGUGCUACAAUGGAUGGUACAAAGGGCUGCAAGACCGCGAGGUCAAGCCAAUCCCAUAAAACCAUUCUCAGUUCGGAUUGU